rnacentral:rRNA from 1 species
UACGUAGGGGGCAAGCGUUAUCCGGAAUUACUGGGUGUAAAGGGUGCGUAGGUGGUAUGGCAAGUCAGAAGUGAAAACCCAGAGCUUAACUCUGGGACUGCUUUUGAAACUGUCAGACUGGAGUGCAGGAGAGGUAAGCGGAAUUCCUAGUGUAGCGGUGAAAUGCGUAGAUAUUAGGAGGAACAUCAGUGGCGAAGGCGGCUUACUGGACUGAAACUGACACUGAGGCACGAAAGCGUGGGGAGCAAACAGG